rnacentral:ncRNA from 2 species
CUAUUAACGAGUCUUUUGGGCUAGGGUGCGUCGCUGUUUGGUAAUGGGAAAUCCGGUGCAAGGCCGGUGCUGCCCCCGCAACUGUAUCGGGAUGGGUUAUUUACGGCAGGUACGCCCUGUCACCCACUUAAGGAUUGGUUUGAAAGUCCUUUGGGAAGGGAAAUAACUGACAUGCCCGAAGCCAGGAAACCUGCCAAAAGCGAUCCGCGUGC